rnacentral:rRNA from 1 species
AACGAACGCUGGCGGCAUGCCUAACACAUGCAAGUCGAACGAAGUCUUCGGACUUAGUGGCGCACGGGUGCGUAACGCGUGGGAAUCUGCCCUUGGGUGCGGAAUAACUUCUCGAAAGGGAUGCUAAUACCGCAUAAUGUCGUAAGACCAAAGAUUUAUCGCCCAAGGAUGAGCCCGCGUAAGAUUAGCUAGUUGGUGGGGUAAAAGCCUACCAAGGCGACGAUCUUUAGCUGGUCUGAGAGGAUGAUCAGCCACACUGGGACUGAGACACGGCCCAGACUCCUACGGGAGGCAGCAGUGGGGAAUAUUGGACAAUGGGCGAAAGCCUGAUCCAGCAAUGCCGUGUGAGUGAUGAAGGCCCUAGGGUUGUAAAGCUCUUUUACCAGGGAUGAUAAUGACAGUACCUGGAGAAGUAAGACUCCGGCUAACUCCGUGCCAGCAGCCGCGGUAAU